UAAUGAGUUAGUAUAACUAAUACCUUUGAUUUAGGAUCAACAAAAAAGAUAAAAUCUUACUCAUUAUCCA
rnacentral:tRNA from 1 species